rnacentral:misc_RNA from 1 species
UGCAAAGAGUUUUGCCACUUCACCUAAACCAAACAAAUAUAUAAUUAUUGAUAAAUGACAAAAAAAUAACAUAUUAAGCAAAUUACAUGUACUAUAGUUGGUAUAUUCUCUUUCUUUAAAAUACUGGUACGUUGUUUAACUGUCAGGUUCAAGUUUGUUGGGAUCCAAAUAAUUUAUUCAAUGUGGAACUUCAUCAUAACCUAAUUCUUUCAAUACAA